rnacentral:lncRNA from 1 species
GUUAUAUAAAUUUCUAUAUUAUCAUUAUUUUUACAGCAAGGAAACUGAAGUUUGUUCAAAGUGAAAGAAGUUCACCUGCUGGACUACUACAAGAAAGGAGGGGUACUCAUUUCCUUCCUGUCCACUACCCUCAGAAUGUUAACAUGGCUGUAAUCUAGAUGUGAAUUGCUUCCUCUCCCCAGCACCAAACGAAAUACACUACCUCAAAAGAGCAUAAAAAUCAACUUUGGAAGAACAGAGGGACUCUCCAGUGCCCCACAGAAAUGAAGGAAAAUGCUGCGCUGAGCAAAGGGGCGGCUGCGCUGAGAGGCUGUGCUGAGCAAAGGGGCAGCUGCGCUGAGAGGCUGCUCUGAGCAAAAGGGCGGCUGUGCUGAGAGGCUGUGCUGAGCAAAGGGGUGGCCACGCUGAGAGGCUACGCUGAGCAAAGGGGCGGCCAUGCUGAGCACAGGGGCCCGCGCUCUAAGAAACCUUGGAGGCUGGGAAGAACUAGUCUGAAGCAACCUAAAUUCACAGAAAACCCACCUAUAUCACCCAGACCCCAGACCAAAAAGGAAAGG